AGGGGUGUAGCUCAAUUGGCAGAGCGUCGGUCUCCAAAACCGAAGGUCGCGGGUUCGAUUCCCUCCGCCCCUG
rfam:Massilia sp. LC238 contig36, whole genome shotgun sequence.